rnacentral:misc_RNA from 1 species
AAAUGCGAUAAGUAAUGUGAAUUGCAGAAUUCAGUGAAUCAUCGAAUCUUUGAACGCACAUUGCGCCCGCUGGUAUUCCGGCGGGCAUGCCUGUUCGAGCGUCAUUUGAAGCCCCUCGGCGGCCCGGGUUCUCUUUUGUACUCGCGCCGCCGGCGUUGGCGCUCCGCUUGGCCCCCUUGCUUGUGGGCCAGGCGGGCUGCCCAAAUGCAGCGGCGGACCGUUCCGGGCCUCCCAGCGCAGUAGCAAUAGCCUCGCUGCGGAAGGAAGGAACGGCUUCUGGCCCACAUUCGUCGACGUUUUUUUGUCGUCGACCUUUCCAAGAGCUUGACCUCGGAUCAGGUAGGAUUACCCGCUGAACUUAAGC